GCCUUCGUGGUGUAAUGGUCAACACGUUCGCGCGUAUUCGAGAGGUCCGUGGUUCGAAUCCCGGCAAGGGCA
rnacentral:tRNA from 1 species